GCAAGCAAAAAACGUGAUGAUCAUCUUCUUCAUGAAAGAAAAGUUUCAAAUGUCCAUAACUUUUUCGUUUCUCAUCGGAAUUGCGUGAUUCUUGCGGCCACGGAACGAGGAAAUGAUCCUCUACGGAUUUAUGGUUCCAAUUUGAGAUGUUUAAGAGCUUGGAUGGAGCAAUUUUAAUGGUGAAUCAUGAACAUAGACCUUCGGCUUUGGAACUUCAACCAAGACCCGACGAGGCGAUUACCAACGAAGCUCGAAACGUAAAGAUCGAGGUUAACGCUUUGCUGGUUUGAAAUAUCUGGAUUGCAAGUGGUG